GACGAACGCUGGCGGCGUGCUUAAUACAUGCAAGUCGAGCGCACGGACGAGAAGCUUGCUUCUCUGAUGUUAGCGGCGGACGGGAGUGUAACACGUGGAUAAUCUAUCUAUCAGACUGGGAUAGCUUCGGGAAACGGGCGCUAAUACCGGAUUCUCUUUUCAACCGCAUGGUUCAAAAGUGAAAGACGGUCUUGCUGUCACUUAUAGACGGAUCCGCGCUGCAUGAGCUAGUUGGUAAGGUAACGGCUUACUAAGGCAACGAUGCAUAGCCGGCCUGAGAGGGGUAACGGCGACACUGGAACUGUGGCGCGGUCCAGACUGCUACGGCAGGCAGCGGUAGGGGAUCUGCCGCAAAGGGCGAAAGCCUGACGGGGCAGCGCCAGGGGAGUGGUGAGGGUCUUCGGGUCGUAAGACUCUGGUAUUAGGGAAGAACAUGGGUGUAAGUAACUGUGCACAGCUGGGCGGUUCCUAAUCAGAGAACCACGGCUAACUACGGG
rnacentral:rRNA from 1 species